UACUCGUAUCUGUUAUCUUGUUGAGACGCCACCACCAUAUUCACUUGAGCUGUUUUCUACUUGCACUGUUCUUCGUUAACACUUCUUCAACAGAAAAUUCCACUCGUUGUUCAAAAAUGAAUUCUUGACACUUUUUUUCUCUUUUAGUGGAAGCAAGAUGUCUGUGUUGCUGAAAGCGUUGCCUUUGGUGGCCCUCCGCCAAAGGCCGUCAUCGUUCUUCUUCCUCUGCAGCGUUUCCACCACCACUCCAAGGGUUCUUUCUAGAACAAGAACUCUGUCUUGCGUUUCUGCUUCUGCUUCUGCUUCUGCUUCUGCUUCAACUUCAACGUCUCAUUUGACACAACCACCUCCUUCUUCUUCUGAAGCACAAGCACUCUCGUCCAACGCUAAGACUUGGUCUCAGUCACUUUCUUGGGUUUCUAGAACUGCUUUCUGCGGUGAAUUGUCCUCAAUCGAUGUGGGGAAAAAGGUUCAGCUUUGUGGCUGGGUUGCACUUCACAGGGUCCAUGGUGGCCUCACAUUUCUCAAUCUUAGGGACCAUACUGGUAUUGUUCAGGUUACGACCCUUCCAGAAGAAUUUCCAGAUGCGCAUUCUGCUAUCAAUGACUUGAGACUCGAGUAUGUGGUUGCAAUUGACGGUGUUGUCAGGUCUAGGCCAAACGAGUCAAUCAAUAAGAAUAUGAAAACAGGCUCCAUUGAGGUUGCUGCUACUAGUGUUCUAGUGUUAAAUGCUGUAAAUUCAAAGUUGCCAUUCUUAGUUACUACAGCAGAUGAUGCAAAAGAUUCUCUUAAAGAGGAAAUCCGUUUGAGGUAUCGAUGCCUUGAUCUACGGCGGCAACAAAUGAGUUUCAACAUAUUGCUGCGACAUAAAGUUGUUAAACUCAUUCGGAGAUAUCUAGAAGACAUCCAUGGUUUUGUUGAGAUUGAAACUCCAAUACUGUCUAAAUCCACGCCAGAAGGUGCCCGGGAUUAUUUAGUUCCUUCAAGAACCCAGCCAGGAACAUUCUACGCCUUGCCACAAAGUCCACAGUUAUUUAAACAAAUGCUAAUGGUAGCAGGUUUUGAUAAAUAUUAUCAGUUAGCAAGGUGUUUUCGUGAUGAAGAUUUAAGAGCAGAUAGACAACCUGAGUUCACCCAGCUAGAUAUGGAAAUGGCUUUUACUCCUUUAGAGGAUAUGUUAUCUCUAAAUGAAGAAUUGAUCAGAAAGGUUUUCCUUGAUAUUAAAGGGGUGGAAUUACCAAACCCUUUUCCCAGGCUUACAUAUGCUGAAGCAAUGAGCAGAUAUGGCUCAGACAGGCCGGAUACCAGAUUUGAUCUCGAGUUAAAGGAUUUAUCUGACCUUUUCUUAGGGUCAUCCUUCAGAGUUUUCUCUGAUUCUUUGGAAAGUGGGGGAAUUAUUAAAGUGUUGUGUAUACCUUCUGGUGCAAAAAGAUACUCAAAUUCAGCUCUCAAGAAAGGCGAUAUUUUUAAUGAAGCGAUGAGAGCUGGUGCUAAGGGUUUACCUUUCCUUAAGGUUUUGGAUAAUGGGGAGAUUGACGGAAUUGCUGCUUUGAUAUCGAGUAUGGAUGCUACAACUAGAGAGAAUUUGUUAAAACAAUGCUCUGCUGCACCCGGUGAUCUGAUCUUAUUUGCAGUGGGUCAUCAUGCGUCUGUUAAUAGAACUCUAGACCGUCUUAGACUUUAUGUUGCCAAUGACCUUGGCUUGAUUGACCAUGGCAGGCAUUCAAUUUUGUGGAUUACUGAUUUUCCAAUGUUUGAGUGGAAUGAUACAGAGCAGCGGCUUGAGGCUUUGCAUCAUCCUUUCACUGCACCAAAUCCUGAAGACAUGAAUGACCUUGCAUCUGCUCGUGCAUUGGCUUAUGACAUGGUUUACAAUGGGGUGGAGAUUGGCGGUGGAAGUCUAAGAAUUUAUAAGCGUGAUAUACAACAAAAGGUUUUGGAGAUUGUUGGAAUCUCAAUUGAGCAGAGUGGGAGAUGUUUGAGCCACUACCACUUGUUGCUGGUUGAAGGGCCUGAUGAAGAGGGAAUUGAUGAAGAGCAAGGAGGGCCACACGAGGGUCCCUUGAUGCUAAUGAUGUGUUCCUUGCUGCUGUCCCAUAAGAGCAUGCUCACUCUCACGACCACAAGUCUUUCAAGGUGGUGGGUUUUGUUAAUGCAGGAAGCGAGGAAGGUGGUAAUCCUCAUUGACACGGGCAGGGGGAAUUGGCUACAGCAAGAUCAAGUGCAAGUCACAUGCACUCCCAUAUUUUCAGUGGAAAUGGGGAAUGGGCAGAUUUUUUUAUUUUUUUCUUAAAAGAUCUUUUUCUCUCUCUAGAAUGCAAUUGGAACACACUGACAUGACAUGCAUGCCAAUUUUUGGGGCUAUUAUGUUAUUGACAGAAACAAGGGGAAUUCGUAAAUCAUAAGGCUGAAUCGAAGUUUGGUUAUCUUCUUGAAGCGCUUGACAUGGGGGCUCCACCACAUGGGGGGAUAGCUUAUGGGUUGGACAGAAUGGUAAUGUUGUUGGCCGGGGCUAACUCCAUAAGGGAUGUGAUUGCAUUCCCAAAGACAACAACUGCACAGUGUGCCCUCACAAGGUCACCAUCUGAGGUCGAUCCCCAGCAGCUCCAAGAUCUCUCUAUUGCAACUUCACACC